GUGGUUGUAGCUCAGCUGGUUAGAGCGCUGGAUUGUGGUUCCAGAGGUCGCCGGUUCAAAACCGGUCAUCCACCC
rnacentral:tRNA from 1 species